rnacentral:rRNA from 1 species
AUUGAACGCUGGCGGCAGGCCUAACACAUGCAAGUCGAGCGAGUGGCGGACGGGUGAGUAAUGCUUGGGAAUCUAGCUUAUGGAGGGGGAUAACUCAGGGAAACUGUAGCUAAUACCGCGUACCAUACGAUGAGCCCAAGUGGGAUUAGGUAGUUGUGGAGUUAAAGGCUCAACAAGCCGACGAUCUCUAGCGGGUCUGAGAGGAUGACCAUCCACACUGGGACUGAGACAAGGCCCAGACUCCUACUGGAGGCAGCAGUGGGGAAUAUUGCACAAUGGGCGAAAGCCUGAUGCAGCCAUGCGGCGUGUAUGAAGAAGGCCCUCGGGUUGUAAAGUACUUUCAGUCGGGAGGCGUUACCGACAGAAGAAGCACCGGCUAACUCCGUGCCAGCAGCCGCGGUAAUAC